UCGCCUCUCUUCUUCCUCUUCUUCUCACUAAGAGUUUGCUCCCUUCCUUAGAGUCUGUUAUAGCACUAUUGCUCUGUCCGUGACUCCCUCCCUCCUUUGGUCUUAUUUUUCAUCUUCGCUACCUUCUAGGUCUUCUUAGUUCUGUCUGUCUGUCUGUGACCGUGUCCGUCUCGCUCUCGCACCCUUAACUUAUUGUUCUUCCCCUUGGCCCGUUGGUUGUUUUCCUCUCCGUUCCCCUCCCCUUCUCCUUUUGUAUCCCUCUCAUUGCUGUCAAUCCACCAAUUCUGCUAUUCAUGGUGGGUCUGUGGUUGGAAUUUAUUGGCUUAGGUUAUAGGACUUCAUGUGCGCCGUCUGGCAGUAUAUGGAGCAUAAGUUGUCGUUGGCGAGAGGAGCAUCAGGUCCUCGUGGAUUGCAUUUGGUGAAAUUUGAGGGAUGUCGAGGGAUGUUGAAUGAUGUUUUGAAGACGUUUGAUGGCUAUGGUGACGCUGCGUUGAGUGUGUUGUAAGUCGGGGCAUUUGAGUGGAGGAGAAGUGGAGAGGGAGCAGAAAGGAGCGUGGUUUGGGAUAGAAGAGGAGGCUCUUAAUGAUCGGGAAGGUAUUGGGGGAUGAUUGUUUCAGUUGUGGUUGAUAGGGGUGCUGUUCCUUUGAAAUCGAGUGUGAAGUGAGUGGCGGAAAGGAUCGGGAAAAAGUGAGGCCGGGGUUGAGGACAAAGUGAUUGCCUGUGGAAUUUAUUCUCCAUGGGCGGACAAUGUGAAGGCAGGGGUUGGUGAGGGCAUGGGGAAACCGAGGUCUGCGGAACAAAACGCAAUAGAGCACGGUGGCGACAGUGCGCCAGUAGGAGGCGCUCGUCUGCGCCCUAUGCAGGAAGUGAUACGGAACUCGCCCCGUUUAAAACACAAGGGAAGAAAUAAGAGUGGUUCAUUCAUGGCUGACCCCCCCUCUAAGGCAAUGGCGAAUAGAACUAAGGAUCGAUGGAAAUCGCAAACACCUAAGUCUAAAAGUUCUGGAAAGGUCGAAAAGAACAUCAGAGAGAAAAAUGUUCACGAUGAGGAUUCGGAGGAGUCUAACAUUGACGACCAUCAAAAUGAAGAAAAUGAAGACGAAGAUGAAGACGAAGACGACUCUGAUGAGCUGGAGGAGGAGCAAGAGGAAGUGCUUGGAGAAGGGAUGUUUGAGGUGGAAGCGAUCAGGAAAAAGCGAAUCCGAAAGGGCAAGAAGGAGUUUCUUAUCAAGUGGCGUAACUGGCCGGAGAAGGAUAACACAUGGGAGCCGUUUAGUCACGUGGCGAAAUGCAGAGACAUCCUUGAAGAAUUUGAGGCGAGUCAGAAAGCGCGGCGAGGAAAACGCAAAUUUGGUACGUACACUCUGGAUGGUGCUGGGAAGCGGAAGCGGAGCUUUAUGUCUAAUGCUGAUGAAGAUGCGCCCAGUCAGAGUGAAGGGAAAGACACUGUCAAAUCUUCUACCGAUUCCUAUGCUGUACCUGAAGAGAAAGAAAGGAAGACACGACACCAAGCUGGGCUUACUGAGAGGACUGCUAGCCCUUCUGCUGAAGCAGCCCGGACAUUGUUAGAUUUGCCUGACGAGGCUCCUACCACGUCAAAACUUGCCGCUACCCCUGAAGUAAGCAAAGUGAUUGGGGAUAUCGUGGCCGGAGAAGAAAACGGGGCUGAUUCUUUAGGCAGGGCGGUGGUUAUUUAUGAGACACCUCGGGCUGCAGAGGUUGUUGAGCCUGACGGUGGUGUUGUGGAUGGAAUUCCGAGCGUAGAUACAAAGAGUCUGGGUUUGAAUGGCACGAAUAGUUGGGCUGACGCCGCUGUUCCUAGGUUCGCUUAUGAUGACAACACGAAGUUCCCCUCGUCUAUGUCUCAGUUGAUUACAACGAGAGAAAACGAAGUUCUUGAGAACAAAAUUGGAGCUCAUCCAGCUGUAGCCGAUGAAAGCAGGGGCUUGACCGAGGAGAAGCAGUUGUCAAAGGCGGUUAAGCUGGUGGAAUUUGGACACUCAGACGAGGAAAUGGAUAUUAGAAACUUAGGUCUAGUACAUGAUACUGUCCAAGGUGUAACGGGCAGUUCAAAGUCAGAAGGAGGACCCGUUGGGUCAAAGAGAAGGAAAGGUGCGGUUCCACGCAGGGUCCCUCAGGACCAGGAUGGAGUGCAAACUUCUUUGGAGGACAUUAAGAGAGAACUUGGGCAAGGUCUUGAGGAAUAUCAUACUACAGCGGAUAAAGUAUCUGGGAGGGAGUUGGCAACUGUAGCCCGCAAGGAUAUCCCACCUGAGCAUAAAGAGUGUCAGUCUGCUUUUCAAGACAAUCUGUCAAGAAAAGCAUUGUCAACUCCUCCGCCCGUGGAGAAAAAGGAGAUUGGAGCACUUACAACACCUGUCAUCACACAUAUAUUAAAGGCCAUCAGCUAUAGCAACUCUAUUACACAUGAGAAGCAGGAAGUUUUGGUCCAGUUUAAGGCUUCUAGAUCCGAUGGGGAGGAGGUGGUGGUUGACAACAAGUUUAUGCGAGAAAGUUAUCCUCUUCUGUUGAUCGACUUCUACGAGCAACACCUACGGUACAGUAAUGCGUAAAUUUGGAGAUCAGAAGAGCUGAACUUUUAACCUGCAACUGUACGUGCACCGAGGUAUAAUAUGCUGGCUUGCCUGGCUCAAGAAGAGAAUUCUCAUGGGGGUGAUGGCUGCACAGUUCUUGACCUACCGCCUUUCUGAAACAAUGUCUUCAACAUUAUCAAAUGACCCAAUCCUAAUAUCCCUCAAACAGUAACACAGUUUACCAGGAGACUUUUACCGCAAAUAGUUAUUAUAUUCUUGGGUAGCAGGGUGAUCUUUGCUAACUGUAGCAGUAACCCACUAUCAUAGUUGGACUUGUUAUCUGAUACUAGAGUGGUAGCUCCUGUUGAGUCUCAUGUUUCAUUUUCUUAUCAUAUUAGGACCGAGUUCUUGACUAUGUCAUUUUUCAUUCCGUGACUCAAACCAAGACAGAUGCUGACUUUCAAAUGUCAUUGCAGAGAAGCAUAGUUAAGAAAAGUCACGAGAUAGAACAGACAAAACCUCAGAUUGUUUCUUUCUUGUUUUUUCCGAAGUAUUCUGUCCCCUGUCAGUAGCAAUUCCAUUCAACAUGGUUAACAGUGUUGUUGUCAGGCAAUGGUAAGCUCGGAAAGCCUUGAUCCCAACUGUUGCUUGUGCUAUGGAGUAAAAGGUGCUACACCGAAUGGAAACGAACCCCAGCUUUAAAUAAAGUAUUAAAGUACACACAA